rnacentral:rRNA from 1 species
AGCGGCGGAUGGGUGAGUAACACGUGGGGAACCUGCCCCUAAGUCUGGGAUACUAUUUGGAAACAGGUGCUAAUACCGGAUAAUAAAGCAGAUCGCAUGAUCAGCUUUUGAAAGGCGGCGUAAGCUGUCGCUAAGGGAUGGCCCCGCGGUGCAUUAGCUAGUUGGUAAGGUAACGGCUUACCAAGGCGACGAUGCAUAGCCGAGUUGAGAGACUGAUCGGCCACAUUGGGACUGAGACACGGCCCAAACUCCUACGGGAGGCAGCAGUAGGGAAUCUUCCACAAUGGACGCAAGUCUGAUGGAGCAACGCCGCGUGAGUGAAGAAGGUUUUCGGAUCGUAAAGCUCUGUUGUUGGUGAAGAAGGAUAGAGGUAGCAACUGGCCUUUAUUUGACGGUAAUCAACCAGAAAGUCACGGCUAACUACGUGCCAGCAGCCGCGGUAAUACGUAGGUGGCAAGCGUUGUCCGGAUUUAUUGGGCGUAAAGCGAGCGCAGGCGGAAAAAUAAGUCUAAUGUGAAAGCCCUCGGCUUAACCGAGGAACUGCAUCGGAAACUGUUUUUCUUGAGUGCAGAAGAGGAGAGUGGAACUCCAUGUGUAGCGGUGGAAUGCGUAGAUAUAUGGAAGAACACCAGUGGCGAAGGCGGCUCUCUGGUCUGCAACUGACGCUGAGGCUCGAAAGCAUGGGUAGCGAACAGGAUUAGAUACCCUGGUAGUCCAUGCCGUAAACGAUGAGUGCUAAGUGU